UUGUAGGAACAAGGGUAAACUUACCCGAUGAUUGCCCAAAUAUGAAUGGCUAUAUAUACAGAUAUAGUUGAAUAGUUUCAAAUCAACAUUGAAACCGUUGAAAGAAACGAAGUUGUAUAUCUAAAAAAUUACAAAGGUAUAUAUGAAGAACAUACAAUCAAUGUUAUUGUUCGCCUUAGUAUGCAUGUCCUUAUUCGGGUUGCUCACAAGCCAUGUUCACAUUGUGUCGAACGCCUGUUUCUGUGAUUUAUCUGAGAGGCAAGUUCAACAUAUAUCUCACGACGGAACAAAUAUUACUGUCACUCAACAUCAUUGUGUGCUAACAAUAAAGGAUUUUAGUAGACAUGAGGACUCGUUAGAGACAGCACCAGACUGUUGUUGUGUGGCAACUUUCGAAGUGGAGACACUGCGACAUCAUUUAUACUACAGGCGUGUAGACGGAUGCAAUGUUGUGGCUUGUUAAUGAAAUCUGGAAAGUAGAUCCCUGGGAAGCACCGAGAACAAGGCAAACAGUGACAAAGCCAUGUGACAAAGCAACACUGGGACAUGUUCCUUUAAAUUAUAACAACCAUUCAAUGGAGCUGACUAGAAUUCGAGACUGACAUUAAAAUAACACCUUAAGUCAAAUCAAUGAAAAAUUCCAUUUUGAUUUAUCUAUCAUUAAUAAAUUGUUUAAUUUAUUUACACACGUCUAUAAAUUAUAUUAAACUAAGCGUUUGUGAUUUAUUCCUUUCUAACGAAUAGAUAAGACGACAAAAUCUA